GUAAGGUAACACUUACUGGAGGACCGAACCCAUAACUGUUGCAAUAGUUCGGGAUGACUUGUGGCUAGGGGUGAAAGGCCAAUCAAACUCGGAAAUAGCUGGUUCUCCGCGAAAUCUAUUUAGGUAGAGCGUUGUAUGUAUGUUAUCGGGGGUAGAGCACUGGAUAGACUAGGGGGAUUCACCGUCUUACCAAAUCUAACUAAACUCCGAAUACCGAUAAUUAAUUAUACAGCAGACACACUGCGGGUGCUAAGUCCGUGGUGGAAAGGGAAACAACCCAGAUCGCUAUCUAAGGUCCCAAAAUUACAGCUAAGUGGGGAAGGAAGUAGAAAAACCAUUACAGCUAGGAGGUUGGCUUGGAAGCAGCCAUCCUUUAAAGAAAGCGUAACAGCUCACUUGUCUAAAUAAGUUUUUCUGCGCUGAAAAUGUACCGGGGCUAAAGCUGUAUACCGAAGAUGUGAGUGCUUAUUGAUUUCGAUCAAUAGGCACGGUAGCGGAGCGUUCCGUAAGUCUGUGAAGGUGGUUUGUGAAAACUGCUGGAGAUAUCGGAAGUGAGAAUGCUGACAUAAGUAGCGUAAAAGAGUGUGAAAAACACUCUCACCGAAAAUCUAAGGGUUCCUACGUUAAGUUAAUCUGCGUAGGGUUAGUCGGUUCCUAAGGCGAGUCCGUAAAGGAGUAGUCGAUGGCAAUUAGGUUAAUAUUCCUAAACCUCUUAAGUGUGACGGAUUUUGUAUUUGUAUAGACCUUAUUGGAUUGGUUUAUGCUUAAAAGGAGUCCCAGGAAAUAGCACUUAUAUUUAUGAGGCCGUACCGUAAACCGACACUGGUGGAUGAGUAGAGUAUACUAAGGUGUUGAAAGAAUGAUGUUGAAGGAACUCGGCAAAUUAUACCUGUAACUUCGGAAGAAGGGUAACCUGUUUUUAGGCAACUAUUAGCAGGUGGCACAAAAUAGGGAGUAGCGACUGUUUACUAAAAACACAGCUCCAUGCGAAGUCGCAAGACGAUGUAUAUGGAGUGACGCCUGCCCGGUGCUGGAACGUUAAGGGGACGGGUCAGCGCGCAAGCGCGAAGCUCAGAACUCAAGCGCCAGUAAACGGCGGUGGUAACUAUAACCAUCCUAAGGUAGCGAAAUUCCUUGUCGGGUAAGUUCCGACC
rnacentral:rRNA from 1 species